rnacentral:lncRNA from 1 species
UAUACAAACGUACUGAUAUUUGCCACUUAAAUCAUACAACACUUUGGCGCUGAAGUGAAUAAAUCGCGAGGAAAGAUGAAAGUGUUUCUACAUUACGGACCCUUUCAGGGAUGAAAUGGCGCUGCCCGCGCGGAACAAGCUGUGCUUCCAUUGAUUCGUGGUCUAAAGGCUGCUGGAGUUGAUGUGGCACCUAUGCAAGGCAAGAGGCGCUAUGCUUGCGAGCUGGUCAUGGACAAGAAAGUUGUUUGGAAAUGUACCACUGAAGAAUUACUUGCAUUGGCUGAAAAGGGAUCUUCACUCGUCAGCGAAGCCAUAAAAGCCUGUAAAUCUGUGUAAAAAUGCACCCCUUCUUACAGACAAUAUGUUGACAUUCCCUGAACUUUGUAGUUUCAUUUGAUAUACAUUGUGGAAUUCCUACAUUUUACAUUCAGAAGCUUACAGUACUAAAGAACCUUAAAUUCCUUAAGGUGUACCAUACAUAAUUUUCAGAAUUUAAAAUACUUUUAAACUAUGUAUCGUUCGAUAUAAUUCCAUUAUACAUUUGGAACUUGGUAUCGUUACCUUAGCGCAAGAAGUGAAUAAGUCCUUCUUUAAGUCAAUGCAGUUAUCCACUUCUUGCGUUGAGGUGACGGUACAUCGAAUUCCGCGGGAACGAGCAAUUUACUUCAAAAUAUGUACUGAAAUUCGACCUUAAACGCUUUUUCGGGACGGGACUUGAAAAUAUCUUAGAGAUAGCCGAAACUUUUAACUGUAAAAGUCAAAUCAUCAUCUAGUCUACACUAGUCAUGUAUAAUGGUUAUUUUCUUUUUAAUAUCUAUCGUGUAUAGACAAAAUAAAUGUGUUGAUGGUUUAUAUUGUAGUCUGAUAACAAUCAAAUGUGCUAAAACACACAAACACGUUAUUGUUUGCGUUGAACUUGUUUUAGAAUUAACAUCUACUGGAAAAGCUUUGAGAAAUACAGUUGUACACAUAUCUGAUACGAACGAUAUUUGAAACCAUGUAUAGUUUAUUAGAAAUUUACCAUGCACAUGAAGAAAGAACUGGAUUUCAAAUAGUUUCUAUUAGAGUUUUAAUCCCUUGUUUUAUUGAACCAUGUUUGUUGUUCUUCUUUGAUUGAUGAGGGAAACAAUUUAACAAAUGUAUGCAUCAAAAAGUUUAAAGGAUUGAAAAGGAAAAAGUACAAAAAAGAAUAUUGUGGUUUGAACCCGAGACAGGAAAAUAACUGACACUACUAGUACGGAGUCCUAACCACUUUCGCUAAACUUGGUUCAUAAAUAUGUUUAAUGUAUUAUGUUAAUAAUAAUUCGGGAGUAUUCCAGUGAUUUUCAAUUAUAAAUGGUAUAUACGUUAAGUAAUUCAUGAUAUAUGUUUCAGCCAAUGUGCACGUUCAGGUUUUGAGGGCAUUAUUGACCCUAACUUUAUUUCUUUUUAGCGAAAAUGUAACCAGAUUUUCUAUAUCUGUUUAUGUUGAUUAGUUUAAUUACACUAUUUUAUGCUAAUACAUGUAUAUGGUAAUGCGUAUUAUACAAUACUGACAUCGGACAGAAAUGAAGUGGUUGUCUUAAAAUGAGGGACAAACACUGAAAACGUUGUAGAAUCAGUUUUGUACAAUAUGUGUUCGUACAAUUCAUUUGA